rnacentral:rRNA from 1 species
GACGUAGGGCGCGAGCGUUGUCCGGAUUUAUUGGGCGUAAAGAGCUCGUAGGCGGCUCGUUGCGUCGGCUGUGAAAACCCGCAGCUCAACUGUGGGCUUGCAGCCGAUACGGGCGGGCUGGAGUUCGGUAGGGGAGACUGGAAUUCCUGGUGUAGCGGUGAAAUGCGCAGAGUAUCAGGAGGAACACCGGUGGCGAAGGCGGGUCUCUGGGCCGAUACUGACGCUGAGGAGCGAAAGCGUGGGGAGCGAACAGG